rnacentral:tRNA from 1 species
UCCCUAGUGGUCUGGUGGCUAAGACUCUGCACUCCCAAUGAAGUGGGCAUGGGUUCAACCCCUGGCUGGGGAA